GACGAAGGGGGCUAGCGUUGUUCGGAAUUACUGGGCGUAAAGCGCGUGUAGGCGGUUAUCCAAGUCGGGUGUGAAAGCCUUGAGCUCAACUCAAGAAAUGCACUCGGUACUGGGUGACUAGAGGACCGGAGAGGAUAGUGGAAUUCCCAGUGUAGUGGUGAAAUAACGUAGAGAUUGGGAAGAACACCAGUGGCGAAGGCGGCUCUCUGGGCCUUUCCUGACGCUGAGACGCGAAAGCGUGGGAGCGAACCGGAUUGAGAAACCCGGGU
rnacentral:rRNA from 1 species